GUAGCCUUUGUUACUUUGGUCCCAGCUCUCUGCAGGUCAUUCACUAGGUCCCCCUGUGUGGGUGAUUGUUGGGUGAACAUUUGGGGAGAAAAAUCACCAGUUUGUAAUGGACUCUCAGUAUUCAUAAUCUGCAUAAACUGAAUAAUGGUUGAUGGAAAGAAGACCAGCAUUUUAUUUGCAUAGUGAUGAUGCUCUGUAUAGACAGCACAUGAUUCAGUGAUCUGGAAGUGUUUAUAACCCUGUGAGUUUAACACUUCAUGACUGAGAUCUGUCCUUCAUUACAACUGAACACACAACAACCAUGACUAUUUUAGCCAUCUUCAUCUGGACACUUGCUUUCUGCUUCAUGGAAUCCAGAGGUCAGGUCACUGUGACUCAGACUCCUGCAGUUGAAUCUGUUCUCCCAGGACAGACAGUCUCUCUGAAAUGUAGAACCAGCAGUAAUGUGGAUGGUAAUUGUACCAAUGGACAGUCAUGGGGCCAUCAGUGUCUAUCCUGGUACCAACAGAAACUAGGACA